GCGCCAUUGGUUUAAUGGUAGAACCUCUGAUUUCCAAUCAGAAGGUAGGGGUUCGAUUCCCCUAUGGCGCA
rnacentral:tRNA from 1 species